CCUUCCCUGGGGCUUAGGGACUUAGGGGGAGAGGGUGGUGAGGUGGUCUCCUCGUUUGGGCUCCGUCGGUGGGAAGUUGUGUGAGAAACGCGGGUUCCAGACCUUCCUCCCCGUAGGAGAGGGUCGGUGGGUACCACUGAGGGCGUUAGACACACGCCAACUGCAGAAACCGGGCUGUCCAUCGUCCAGUCGAAGUCCUUUCUGGUCUUCAGUUUCUUCAGAUAACUCGGUGUUUCGUUCUGAACCCAGGAGAACAGCCCCAGACGCCUAGCGCUGAGUAGACUUAACAUGGGUUUGACUCUGGAGCUGUUGUCAGAGUCUCUGUUUCAAAGCCACCGUUGCCAAGUUUGUUGCUGAAAAGAAGUUUAUGUAGCUGGGGAAGGAAGAUCUUAGAGCAGAGAGACUCUCCUAGUUAGACCUUGAUGAAAAUUGGGGGAGGAAGGCUACACAGAGCUUGCAGUCAAAGGUUUAUUGGGUGUUUUCUUACCAAAAUACAUCGUCAUUAUCACGGAAUUGUCAGAGCUGGAAAGGACCUCUAGAGAUCAUCUGGUCCUUUCAGCUCUUUUCCCACUUUGCAUGUUUCUUCUUGUACGAAAAAGAAACUUUACGUGUUUCUUUUACAAGAUUUUUCCAUUUUAUAUAAGUAAAGACCCAAGUCCUUAUCUUGUUUACGUGGUGUGUUUCUUGUCUCAGGACCAUCUGUAGUUAAGAUGUCACCAUCCAUAUGUGUACAAGAGAUAACAAGUAAACUGAAAGAUGGUCCUGUGUUUACUCCUCGCUGAAUCAGGAUUCACUUCUCCCCCAAUACUUAAGAGACCAGUAAAUUUUCUGUUGUACCUGAUGAUUUAAGCACUAGUGAGGAAUGCAGGCAAAUUUUUGGGCUUAAUUGGAGGCCCAGAACACGCACUAAGUAUGGUUUAAUGAGAUUGAAAAGUAUCAGAAUAUAAUAAACCCCAAACUUUUAAUUUAUCUUCUCCUUCUUCCAGUAUCAUAUAAAGAAUAAUGAUGUAAUAGCAAAUUUACUCCCUAUGAAAUCCCUGUUCCCACCUCUUGGGUUUUGCAGAAGUUCAGGGAUGCUGUGUUGAGAUGGUCGCUGCAAUUAGCUGCCAUUAGGAGAAACAGCUUAUUGGUGCCUGUAUGCCACUCCAAUAGGCAAUUUUGUUGUUUGUCAUAUUAAUAGCAUAAACAUCUUUUUCAGAGCUAAUUAAACUUUUAGAUCACACUUACAGCAACGUUAUAGUCUGAUUGUAGCAUUCAGCAAAUGUUACAUUCUGAUGUGCCUGCUUUAUCUAUUUUCUUUUUGUCUUCUGUCUUCUGUUGGUAAUGGUUUCUAACAGAAAAGCGUGAGAAAUGCUUCUGCCUUUUUCAGCUGAUCACUUAAAAUGAUUAAGCUUUGCAUUGUUCAUUGUUGCUAGGAAAAUAUUAGGAAAACUAUUGAGCAGUUUUUCUCCAUGUAUGAAUGGCUGUUUCAAAAUCUAUAAAUUGUGCCUUUGUAAUUCCUUGUUUGUAUAACCACUAGGUGUAUUUUCAGAAGAUAACCAUAUUGAUAUAUGAUGAAAUUUGUGUUUACUGCUAUUACAUAACAGAAAAAUUUACGCAUGUGUGAGCUAUAAAGCAGAAAUACAAAUGUAUUACUGACAGGAUAUGUGCUGCUAAAAAUGUAUAUAUAGAUGCUGUCAUUUCAAUUUUCAGAAGAAAAUGCUGUCUUUUAACUGCAGAAGAACAAGGCUUUGUCUUCCUGUAAUUCUGAAGUGAAAGUUGUCAUCAACAAGAAAACUAAAACCUUUUAAAGAUAGGAGUUAGUAGUAGAAUGCUGAAACAAACUUCUGGAUUAGCUUCAUUGGCUUUCCUGCUUCUUUUGCAUCCCAAAGCAUAAGCUUAAAUCGUCUCAGAAGGACAAGGUGCGCCAGUUUAUGGCAUUUACCCAGGCUGGUGAAAGGACUGCUAUAUACUGCUUAAUGCAGAAUGAGUGGAAACUAGAAGUGGCAACAGACAACUACUUCCAGAAUCCAGACUUGUACUACAAAGAAUCCAUGAAAAAUUCAGUGGACAAGAAGAAAUUAGAGCAAUUGUAUAAUCGAUACAAAGACCCACAAGAUGAAAAUAAAAUUGGUAUUGAUGGGAUUCAACAGUUCUGUGAUGAUUUAAGCCUAGAUCCAGCCAGUAUCAGUGUUCUGGUUGUAGCAUGGAAGUUCAGGGCAGCUACUCAAUGUGAAUUCAGCAAAAAGGAAUUUGUUGAUGGCAUGACAGAGUUGGGGUGUGACACCACAGAAAAAUUAAAAGCUCUAUUGCCAAGACUGGAACAAGAGCUAAAGGAUCCAACAAAGUUCAAAGACUUUUAUCAGUUUACUUUUAACUUUGCUAAAAACCCUGGACAAAAAGGUUUAGUUUCCUGGGAUCAAGGAAGAGAUGAUACAUGAGGAGGGCAUUCAGACUUGAAUCAAAUAUUACCUCAAGACCAGAAGAAUGACUAUCUUUGCAUCCGAUCUAGAAAUGGCAAUUGCAUAUUGGAAUUUAGUCUUGUCAGGAAGGUUUAAAUUUCUAGAUCUUUGGAAUAAAUUUUUGUUGGAACAUCAUAAAAGAUCAAUUCCAAAAGAUACUUGGAAUCUUUUGUUAGACUUUGGAAAUAUGAUUGCAGAUGAUAUGUCCAACUAUGAUGAAGAAGGAGCGUGGCCUGUCCUUAUAGAUGAUUUUGUGGAAUAUGCACGACCAGUAGUCACAGGAGGAAAGCGUAAAACUUCCUAACCCCAGACUUGUCACUACGGACUAAACGUGCACUCUGAACUGCAUUAGAUAACGAAGAUUUGUUGACUGAUGACUGUGCACGUUGUUGCUGGUUUCAGUGGUCGUGAUGACGUUCGUUCUACAGACAAAACUGAAAUUCUUCCUUUCUGCCGAAAGAAAAUGAUGGCUGACACGCGGACACUUGAAGAACAAAACCCAGAAGAUAGUCCAGGCUGUUUGUAGGCUAUUGGCUUCAAUUAUUGUACUGGUUGUAUCAUAUAGGAUGUAGAUUUUGCAUGAUUUUAUACUUUGGAGAAGUUUAACUAGAGGCCAUUUUAUUACAGUUUUGACAGCACAGCAUGCAAUUCAGUUCAUGAUCCAAAGUGAACACCAGCAGUUACAUAAAUAAAACUGUAUUAUAUUGUACUUAUAUUAAAAGCAGUAUUUGUGGUAUAUAAAUUAAAUCCCUAAAUAAAACUUAUGCAGUAUGUUGUAUUUUUAUAAAAGUUCCGUAGAUCUGUCCUAAUAUAGAAUUGUAACAUAACUGAAAAAAACGCUUAUGCUUUUUUUACUUGUUGCCAAAAUUUUAAAUUUAUAUUUUGAAGUCCUAGAUGUAUAGAUUGAUUACAUCCAGCCUUUUGUUUUCUCCCAUUGAGGUCAACUUCCUCAUUAUUCUUCUUCAAGUGCUUGGACAUGUAACAAGUAGCAUUGCUGAGGAAGGGCUGUUGCUCUAUGCUGUGUUGCAACUCCAGCUUUUUUUAUAUUAACCAUUUCAAAGUAGACAUUAAACAACCAAAGAUGCUUUUAUAAUUCAUGUUUGAUUAUCAUAAUUCAGUUAGUCUUCAAUUACAGCUCUUAUUUACUUUAUUUUAGAUAGCAAACUGGUGGAAUACAACUUUAAUUUUCUUCAUAGCCUGAAACAUAUCAUAAAUUCUAGUUAAAUGCAAGAUAGUUGCAAAUGCAAUUCCUGUCAGGUGUCACAGAAAAUAAAUAUGAAUAAGCCCAAAGACUUAACUAAUUGGCUUCCACUUUGGAGAAAUAGUUAGAGCUAAGGAGACUUUACAUUCAUGAUGAUAAGCAUUCAUGCCUCUGGAUGUAUUGUGUAUUCAGUAAUGUUUAUUUAAGCGGGGGGAGGGGGGGGAAGAGUAAAUUAUUGCAAUAUAAUUGAUCUCAAGGCUAGUGGAAUCGGCCCAUGUUUCACCUAAUGUGAAUUUGUUCAGUCAUUUGUUUCCCCCCUUCCACCAGCUAUCGAAUAUAAAGCGUAGAGAGAUCAGGCUCCUCUUUCUCAACAGUGUCUUCCAAUGCCUGAGCACAACAAAAUUUUACUAGAAACUGUUCACCAUUUCUUCACACAGGGCUCUUUUAAAUGCUACCUCAUCAAAAUGAGUUUGUCAUAGCCACUGUACAAGCUUGUUGAAGAGUUGCUAGAGAAUAUGUACAGCUAUGAUCAAUAUAUUUUUCUGUAAUCAGAGCUGAAUAGAUGCAAGAAUUUUGGAGAAAAUAGUGCAUUAAGCUAUAUAAUUUAUAUUUCUUUGAAUCACCUGAGAUCAUCUAAGUACUGCAUGACAGCAUACUAUUUUAUUUUGCAGUUGUGAAGGUAUAAAAGCUUCCAAUAUUCUCUUAAACUCUAAUAUUUAGAGUUUCAUCUAAGUGGUCAGCUUUCAUUUAUGUCAGUGCAGCCUACAAGAGCAAAUGUAUGUGCUGCCUUCAGAGAGGUGACCUUCGUUCUUCUGCUUGAGUGACUUUCAGUUGUGCAUGAUGUUUAAAAAAGCAGGAUUAGGACAAAUUUGAACAAAUUAGCAAGUUUUCUGUGAAGAAUAUAGCAGGCAAGUUACAAAUGCCCUAUGGGUGCUUUAUUAGCAGUAUUUAUAGCCUAAGCAAUAAUUGUCAAUGUUAGAUCUUGCAUGGCAGCCACUAGAUGUCAGUGGCUCAGCCCUCAGCUGCCUCUCUCCUCUGGGUAGGGUUAGGGAGUAAUAUUGAGCUGAAUUAUUACUUUCUAUUUUGAAAGGCGUUUGUGUACAUAAGUCCAGGUAUUCUACAGAAGUCAACGGAGGUUUAAAGACAGUAUUAUGGUCUUUUUAGUGCUUUUGAUCUGCCUACUCUUCCUUCCCGAAUCGAGCCAUUUCUGUAUCUGUCCUGCAGGCUUUGGAGAAUGUGUAACAUCUCAUAAUAUCAGUGUGUUUAUCCAGCCAAAAGCGGUGGAAUGCUUGUUAAUUAACACAGUUGCCACUUAAAAUAUGUAGUUAUAAUACAACUGACCAGAAGCAGUUUAAUCUAUUGGUAUGUAACAUAACUGAAUAUUUUCAUAGCGCUAGAGCUUGUGGCACAUUUGCUCAUGUUGAGACUUCCCUCAAAUCAACCUGAUGAACCUUUUACCUUUGAAAAUAAAUAGAGCAUAAAAAAUGCACGUGGGUUGAGGUUUGUAGCCUUGUUAAUCUAAGGAAGAAGGAAGGUGCUUAGCAUAGUAUUCUGUUUCUGUAUAUAUACACUUACUCUCUUAAGCCUCAUUCCUGUGGGCAUCCUUCAUGGAAGACACCUUCUAACAGAGGAAGACUGAACAAAAUAUUCUCAAGAUAGGAGUUACGCCUUCGCAGCCAGUUUCCUAGGUGUUAAGACACUUUUCCUCUCGUUCUUCCUGGUCUUCUGCCCAUUUGAAGCAAGUAUGCAUUUUACAUUCCCGUAAGCAAUAGCAUGAAGUUAGACCUUCACGCUUGAACAAUCAUUAAAAUAAAUGCAAAUAAACUGCUUCCAAAUGGUGCAUUCCUUAUGUAUUUUGAUAAUUUGCUCAAUGUUCUACUUUACAGGGCACUCUGACUUACUUUCUUAGGUAAACCAAUACAGUGGUACCACCUGGGCUGAUCCAUUUAUAAUCAUAAAUGGUACACAUGUCUUCAAGUUGUUCAGUGCAUACAGUAUUACUUCCUAGAUAAGCUGUAUGUAUUUUUAAACUUGGUGCCAAGUUGUUUGGUUUUACAUCCUGGAGUGUUUGAAACUGAGCCAUAGGACUUGUACUUGCCAAUUCUAAAUUUAAAUGUAACUUAUCAUGUAUGUCAUGCCAAGGAGAGCAAACCUGCAGGCAUCUGCUCAUUCAGUGCACCUGAGAGAUUUGCUGCUGAGUAAGCUGUACGUGUGUAAAUGGAAAUUUUGUGGCAAUGGAAAAAGGAAUAAAUGGACUGUCAACAUAAAGGAUUGAAGUCAGCCAUGUGAGAUGUCUGUAUGGUUUCUGUCAGCUUUCUGUGUUGGAAGCCUUGCAAAGGCUGGUGGGUUGGUUUUUUUUCUGGUUAAUUUGUUAAAUUCUUGCAUUAUUAUUCCAUUGGUCAGAAGAGGGCAAGGAUGUUGUCGUGAAUUUUUAGCAGCUAUAAUAAAUGUCUGGUUUGCUCAUA